UAAUUUAAUUUAUAUCAUUUAAUACUUUAAGUUAAAGAUAAAGAAAAAAUAAUUAUAUUAUCAUGAAUUUUCAAUUAGAGUAAUUUAUUGAAAAUCAAUUAGUAUUUUUAUACUACAAAUAAUAUUUUAAAGUAACUUUAGAGAUUAAAUUAGUUUUUCAAUAUUAAUAUCUUAUGCUCUAAUUUUAUUAAAAUUAUCAAAUUAUCCUUAUACCUAAUUUUUACCAAAACCCUAAAUCCCCAAAAUAUCACGCUAAUCCUAAUUCUACCCUAACCCUUAGCCACCACCGCCACACCCCCCAAACCCUUCAGCCAAACUUCAGCCACUAACCAAGAAAGAAAUGAAAAAAAAAAGAAAGAAAGGGGGAAAGAGGGAACGGGAGAGCAGAGGGGAAGAGAGAUCGGUGAGGGAGAAGAGUAGAGGGAGGAGCUACAUCGCCAUCACCGGCCUUGGGCUCGCCGCCGUUCAUACCCCGUUGCGUCACCACCCAGCCGUCUCCAGCCCACCGCCAGUCGCUGUUGUCUUCACCAAGGGAGGAGAGAGAAAAAGGCGAACGCGAGGAGAGAGAGAGAGAGGGAGCUCGCGAGGAAGCUGCCGCCUUCGAAGCUGGGUUCGUCGUUGCCGUUAGAGUCCGCAUCACUAUCGAACUUGCUGCUGUCACCGAGGGGAAGCCCGUCGCCGCCAGCUUCGUCGGGUCCCCGCCGCCGAGCCCGUCUUUGCCACCGCCACUGGAAGCGCGAAGAGAGAACGCGCGAGGGAAACUGUCGCAGAGCUGCCGUCGCCGCCGCGUUGCUGGGCUCGCCGUCGUCCUGCCCGCGCGGCUGCUGCGUUGCCGGAGCUCCUCGCCGCCGCUGUUGACGACGGAAACUGCCUUCCAAGCCUGUGUCUGUUGGUUAUACGGUCACCACGAGUUUCUCUGUCGCCGUCCAAGCUGCCACCAGAAGGAUCCACCACAGCCUCCUCUGUUCUUGUCUUCGAAUUAGAACUGCCCUUUUCCACUGAAUAUGUCUGUUUGAAAAAUUAAAAUGGGUGCUGCUGCCACCGGUUCGGUCACAUUGGAAUCACUGCUGCUGCCAUAAAACAGAAAGGGAAGGGAGUUACUAUGUUUAACCUGUGUGAAUUCAACUAGUUGAGGAACCGGAUGAAGAAGCAUUAAGAAGAGUUAUACUGCGUCUGGUUUAUAAGAUGUUGUAUUAAUUAGAUGUUUUCUCCCCUCGUCUUUGUUAUUACAAGUGUGUAAGAGGGAUAGGAAUUGUAUGUUUUAUAUGUAUAUUAUAUUAUGAGUUAUUAUGUAAAGAGUCUUGUAUAUGAAUCUAUGCCUGUUUGUAUUUUUCUUAAGAUAAAGUGUGUAUUUUUUUUGGUUCUUUUGAAGAAAUCAGCGAUACAGUGUCAGGCCACAGGCUCCUAUUUUAGUAUUUCGUAUGUAAAGUAGUCGUAAUACUUCUUCCUAUCAGAGUGGCGCAGCCGGAAGCGUGAGUUCUGAUAGUGAGGGUGUUACAUUAUGGUAUCAGAGCGGUCUUUUCUGUAGAGCCUGAGGAAUGGACCGAUUAUGCUUCAAUUGCAUACUCUGAGAGUCAGUCAUGUAGUAGGUCUUGUUUGGAUAACGAGAAUAGAGUUUUAAGUACAUGACAGUCUUUUGAUAAAUACCAUUAAUCUUGCAUUGCAUAAUUCUUGGUAUUAAGUUUGGCCAGCUUAACACUAGUGAAUUAUGUAUAUGUAAGCAUUAAUGGGUUAUCAUGGACAAUAUGCGAGUCAUAAAUAAUGCGAAUCGCGGGUUUUGGGAACGUUAAGAGUUAAAUCUUGAGGUUACUCGGUUAGGUGUCUUGAACUCUGCGAAUAUUACGUAUCUUAUUCCUACUUGGUAUGCUCUAAGGUUCUUGUCUACGAUACUUUUCUUGGAAAGUGAACAGAUUAUCUUUCAAUCCUACUCUCUUGUUCACAUACGCUUUUGUUUGAUCCUAAUUGCAUAUGCCUGUUUAAAACCCUUGGUGUAUUUACUUUUUUUUAUUUAGGCACUUCUUUUUGAAUCGUGUAUUUUUUU